rnacentral:misc_RNA from 1 species
AAAAAAAAAAAAAAAAAAAGGCUAAUUGGGGAACCACAAAAAAAAAUCACCAGUCAAGCAAUAGACAUGAUUUGAUUGGAAGACCAACAGCAAUCACAAAAGUAAUAACGAAAUCAACUCAUUCAAAAGUAAAGAUACUAAAAGAAUAACCAUUGAUGAGUAAGAAUAAACAUUGCAGGGUCAACAAAAAUUUCAUACUAAAAUUAAAACAAAAUGCAUAUAAUAGUGAUUAGGUUCAACAAAUCAAAAUACACAAUCAAAUCCCAACUAGUACCUCACUGCCUCCCAACAUCAAUUAUAAAUUAUAAUAAUUCAAAUAAAGUAAUUCACUAAAAAGCUUCAAACAAAAAGAAUAUGAGAAACACGAUAAACAGACAUUUUAGGGAUUUUACACCUCCAAAGAAAGCCAACAACCAGUAAAUUCGUUCAAAACCAAAGAAGAAGUUUGCAUGAAAGAAGAUUUUUUUUUUCUUAAAUCCGAAUCCAAGAGGUAGGAAAAAAUUCAAAACCGUAUUCAAGAAUUUUUUAUGUAAAAAAAAAAAA